rnacentral:rRNA from 1 species
GUCUUUUUGAGUUUAAUUUAAAGUCUAAUCUGCCCACUGAUAAAUAUUUAAGGGCCGCAGUAUUCUGACUGUGCAAAGGUAGCAUAAUCAUUAGUCUUUUAAUUGAGGGCUUGUAUGAAUGAUUGGACGAGAUAUAAGCUGUCUCAUAAAAAUUUAAAUAGAAUUUUAUUUUUUAGUCAAAAAGCUAAAAUAAAUUUAAAAGACGAGAAGACCCUAUAGAUCUUUAUAAUUUAUUUAUAAAUUUUUUUAGGUUAUUUUUUAAAUUUAUAAAUUAAAUUAUUUUGUUGGGGUGACAAUGAAAUUUAAUAAACUUUCAUUAUUUUAUAACAUUAAUUUAUGAUUAAUUGAUCCACUAUUAGUGAUUAAAAAUUUAAGUUACCUUAGGGAUAACAGCGUAAUUAUUUUGGAGAGUUCUUAUCGAUAAAAUAGUUUGCGACCUCGAUGUUGGAUUAAGAUUAAUUCUGGGUGUAGCAGUUCAGUUUAUUAAGUCUGUUCGACUUUUAAUUUCUU